rnacentral:rRNA from 1 species
CCAGGGGAAGGUUCGUCCGCCCUGGGUUAGUCGGGACCUAAGCUGAGGCCGAAAGGCGUAGGUGAUGGACAACAGGUUGAUAUUCCUGUACUACCGAUAACCGUUUGAGAGAAGGGAUGACACAGUAGGAUAAGCUAAGCACACUGUUGGUUAUGUGUGCCCAAGCAUUGAGGCAGUCAAAGUAGGCAAAUCCGCUUUGAUAAUGCUGGGAUGUGAUGGGGAGCGAAAUUUAGUAGCGAAGUAGCUGAUUUCACACUGUCAAGAAAAGUCUCUAUCGAGGUUAAAGGUACCCGUACCGCAAACCGACACAGGUGGGUGAGGAGAGUAUCCUAAGGCCAGCGAGAGAACUGUUGUUAAGGAACUCGGCAAAAUGACCCCGUAACUUAGGGAUAAGGGGUGCCACCAUCAGGUGGCCGCAGAGAAUAGGCCCAAGCGACUGUUUACCAAAAACAUAGGUUUCUGCUAAGUCGCAAGACGAUGUAUAGGAGCUGACGCCUGCCCGGUGCUGGAAGGUUAAGGGGAUCUGUUAGAGUAAUCGAAGCAGUGAACUUAAGCCCCAGUAAACGGCGGCCGUAACUAUAACGGUCCUAAGGUAGCGAAAUUCCUUGUCGGGUAAGUUCCGACCCGC